rnacentral:rRNA from 1 species
AGAGUUUGAUCCUGGCUCAGGACGAACGCUAGCUACAGGCUUAACACAUGCAAGUCGAGGGGAAACGAUAUUGGAAGCUUGCUUCCGAUAGGCGUCGACCGGCGCACGGGUGAGUAACGCGUAUCCAACCUGCCCAUUACUUGGGAAUAACCUUGCGAAAGUAAGACUAAUGCCCAAUGACAUUUAUAGAAGGCAUCGGAAAUGAAUUAAAGAUUUAUCGGUGAUGGAUGGGGAUGCGUCUGAUUAGCUUGUUGGCGGGGUAGCGGCCCACCAAGGCGACGAUCAGUAGGGGUUCUGAGAGGAAGGUCCCCCACAUUGGAACUGAGACACGGUCCAAACUCCUACGGGAGGCAGCAGUGAGGAAUAUUGGUCAAUGGGCGAGAGCCUGAACCAGCCAAGUAGCGUGCAGGAUGACGGCCCUAUGGGUUGUAAACUGCUUUUAUAGGGGAAUAAAGUGAGCCACGUGUGGUUUUUUGCAUGUACCCUAUGAAUAAGGACCGGCUAAUUCCGUGCCAGCAGCCGCGGUAAUACGGAAGGUCCGGGCGUUAUCCGGAUUUAUUGGGUUUAAAGGGAGCGUAGGCCGGAGAUUAAGCGUGUUGUGAAAUGUAGAUGCUCAACAUCUGCACUGCAGCGCGAACUGGUUUCCUUGAGUACGCAUAAAGUGGGCGGAAUUCGUGGUGUAGCGGUGAAAUGCUUAGAUAUCACGAAGAACUCCGAUUGCGAAGGCAGCUCACUGGGGCGCAACUGACGCUGAAGCUCGAAAGCGCGGGUAUCGAACAGGAUUAGAUACCCUGGUAGUCCGCGCGGUAAACGAUGGAUGCCCGCUGUUGGGCCAACUGGUUCAGCGGCCAAGCGAAAGCAUUAAGCAUCCCACCUGGGGAGUACGCCGGCAACGGUGAAACUCAAAGGAAUUGACGGGGGCCCGCACAAGCGGAGGAACAUGUGGUUUAAUUCGACGCAACGCGAAGAACCUUACCAAGUCUUGACAUCCCUUGACAGACAUAGAAAUAUGUAUUCUCUUCGGAGCAAGGAGACAGGUGGUGCAUGGUUGUCGUCAGCUCGUGUCGUGAGAUGUUGGGUUAAGUCCCGCAACGAGCGCAACCCUUAUGGUCAGUUACUACGCAAGAGGACUCUGGCCAGACUGCCGUUGACAAAACGGAGGAAGGUGGGGAUGACGUCAAAUCAUCAUGCCCUUUAUGACUUGGGCUACACACGUACUACAAUGGCGUUAAACAAAGAGAAGCAAGACCGCGAGGUGGAGCAAAACUCAGAAACAACGUCCCAGUUCGGACUGCAGGCUGCAACUCGCCUGCACGAAGUCGGAAUUGCUAGUAAUCGUGGAUCAGCAUGCCACGGUGAAUACGUUCCCGGGCCUUGUACACACCGCCCAUCACACCAUGAGAGCCGGGGGGACCCGAAGUCGGUAGUCUAACCGCAAGGAGGACGCCGCCGAAGGUAAAACUGGUGAUUGGGGUGAAGUCGUAACAAGGUA